rnacentral:tRNA from 1 species
GCUGUGAUGGCCGAGUGGUUAAGGCUUUGGAUUUGAAAUCCAAUGGGGUUUCCCCGCGCAGGUUCGAACCCUGCUCUCAGCG